rnacentral:rRNA from 1 species
UACGUAGGGUGCGAGCGUUGUCCGGAAUUACUGGGCGUAAAGAGCUCGUAGGUGGUUUGUCACGUCGUCUGUGAAAUUCCGGGGCUUAACCUCGGGCGUGCAGGCGAUACGGGCAAUACUUGAGUGCUGUGGGGGAGACUGGAAUUCCUGGUGUAGCGGUGAAAUGCGCAGAUAUCAGGAGGAACACCAAUGGCGAAGGCAGGUCUCUGGGCAGUUACUGACGCUGAGGAGCGAAAGCAUGGGUAGCGAACAGGAUUAGA